rnacentral:misc_RNA from 1 species
UUAAGUUCGGCGGGUAGUCCUACCUGAUUUGAGGUCAAGCUUCGAUGGGGCGCGGCCGUCCCACAGAGGGACGGGCUCGCAAGACUCGAGAAGCAUGGGUCACGUCGAGCCAUACACUUCCAGCCCCCGACGAUCACUACGACGUCGAACAGGCCUGCCAUGCCAGGCUCGCCACCCACAGCUAAUGCUUUUGAGGAGAG